rnacentral:rRNA from 1 species
CCUACGGGUGGCAGCAGUGGGGAAUAUUGGGCAAUGGAGGCAACUCUUACCCAGCAAUGCCGCGUGAAUGAAGAAGGUCUUCGGAUGGUAAAGUUCUUUAAUUGGGGACGAAAAAAAUGACGGUACCCAAGGAAUAAGCCCAGGCUAACUACGUGCCAGCAGCCGCGGUAAUACGUAGGGGGCAAGCGUUGAUCGGACUGACGGGGCGUAAAGGGUGUGUCGGCGGUGUAGCAAGUUCGAAGUGAAAUACCUAGAGCUUAACUCCGGUGCUGCUUCUAAAACUGCUAUACUUGCGUGCCGUAGAGGCAAGUGGACUUCCUAGUGUAGCGGUGUAAUGCUUAGAUAUU